rnacentral:snRNA from 1 species
UUACUUCAGCAGUACAUAUAAUAAAUUGGAAUGAUACAAAGAUUAGCAUGGCACCUGCGCAAGGAUGACAGACAAAUUCCUGAAACAUCUCAUAUUUUU